UACGUAGGUGGCAAGCGUUGUCCGGAUUUACAGGGCGUAAAGCGUAUGCAGGCGGGAUCUUAAGUAGGAAGUGAAAGGUUGGAGCUCAACUCUAACACUGCUCCCUAUACUGGGGUUCUUGAGUGCCGGAGAGGAAGACGGAACGACACGUGUAGCGGUGAAAUGCGUUGAGAUGUGUCGGAACACCAAUGGCGAAAGCAGUCUUCUGGACGGAUACUGACGCUGAGAUACGAAAGCCAAGGUAGCAAACAGG
rnacentral:rRNA from 1 species